rnacentral:rRNA from 1 species
AGAGUUUGAUCCUGGCUCAGGGUUAACGCUGGCGGCGUGCCUUACACAUGCAAGUCGAACGGGGCUAUCAGCGAUGGUAGCCUAGUGGCGAACGGGUGAGGAAGACGCAGGGACCUACCGACCAGAGGGGGAUACCCGCUGGAAACGGCGGAUAAAACCGCAUACGCCCGGGUGAAAGCCCGGGGAAAAGCACUACGGUGUUACUGGACGAGGGACCUGCGGCCCAUCAGGUAGUUGGGGAGGUAACGGCUCACCAAGCCGACGACGGGUAUCUGGCGUGAGAGCGCGAACAGGCACAAGGACACUGAGAACGGGUCCUACUCCUACGGGAGGCAGCAGUGGGGAAUAUUGGACAAUGGGCGAAAGCCUGAUCCAGCGACGCCGCGUGUCGGAAGGAGUCCUUCGGGAUGUAAACGACUUUUGGUGGAGACGAAUAAGCAGCUCAGGGAAUGGGGCUGUGAUGACGGUAUCCAUGGAAUAAGCCCCGGCUAACUACGUGCCAGCAGCCGCGGUAAGACGUAGGGGGCAAGCGUUACCCGGAAUUACUGGGCGUAAAGGGAGCGUAGGCGGGAGGUCAAGUCCGGUGUGAAAGACCCUGGCUCAACCAGGGAUGAGGGCUGGAAACUGACAAUCUUGAGUACAGCAGAGGAAGAGGGAAUUACCGGUGUAGGGGUGAAAUCCGUAGAGACCGGUAAGAAGGCCAGUGGCGAAGGCGCUUUUCUGGGCUGUUACUGACGCUGAGGCUCGAAAGCCAGGGGAGCAAACCGGAUUAGAUACCCGGGUAGUCCUGGCCCGUAAACGAUGCUCACUAGGUGUGGGGCGCAUAGCGUGCUCUGCGCUGAAGCAAACGCAAUAAGUGAGCCGCCUGGGGAGUACGUCCGCAAGGAUGAAACUCAAAGGAAUUGACGG